rnacentral:rRNA from 2 species
UUCGCAAUGCCCGAAAGGGUGACGAAGCGACGCCGCGUGCGGGAAGAAGGCCUUCGGGUUGUAAACCGCUGUCGGGAGUUAAGAAAUGUAAGGAUGUUAAUAGCAUCUUUGCUUGACUAAGGCUCCGGAGGAAGCCACGGCUAACUCUGUGCCAGCAGCCGCGGUAAUACAGAGGCGGCAAGCGUUGUCCGGAAUUAUUGGGCGUAAAGAGCACGUAGGCGGCUAUGUAAGUCGGUUGUGAAAGCCUUCCGCUCAACGGGAGAACAGCAUCCGAUACUGCAUGGCUUGAGUGCGGGAGGGGAGAGUGGAACUUCUGGUGGAGCGGUGAAAUGCGUAGAUAUCAGAAGGAACGCCGGCGGCGAAAGCGGCUCUCUGGCCCAUAACUGACGCUGAGUGUGCGAAAGCUAGGGGAGCAAACGGGAUUAGAUACCCCGGUAGUCCUAGCCGUAAACGAUGGGCACUAAGUAGAGGGGUUUU